rnacentral:rRNA from 1 species
AUUAUUUUAAUAUUUGGUCCUUUCGUACUAAAAUAUUAUAAUUUUUUAAAGAUAGAAACCAACCUGGCUUACGCCGGUUUGAACUCAGAUCAUGUAAGAAUUUAAAAGUCGAACAGACUUAAAAUUUGAACGGCUACACCCAAAAUUAUAUCUUAAUCCAACAUCGAGGUCGCAAUCUUUUUUAUCGAUAUGAACUCUCCAAAAAAAUUACGCUGUUAUCCCUAAAGUAACUUAAAUUUUUAAUCAUUACUAAUGGAUCAAUUAUUCAUACAUUAAUGAUUUUAAAAAUUAAAAGUUUUUUAAAUUUUAAUAUCACCCCAAUAAAAUAUUUUUAAAUAUUAUAAUAAAAUAUAUCUUUACAAUUAAAAUAUUCAAAAUAUAAAGAUUUAUAGGGUCUUCUCGUCUUUUAAAAAAAUUUUAGCUUUUUGACUAAAAAAUAAAAUUCUAUAAAAAAUUUAAAUGAAACAGUUAAUAUUUCGCCAACCAUUCAUUU